GGAGGCGUGGUGUAGCCUGGUCUAACAUACUAGUCUGUCACACUAGAGAUCGCGGGUUCAAAUCCCGUCGCCUCCGCCA
rnacentral:tRNA from 1 species